rnacentral:lncRNA from 1 species
AUGAAGCGACCUCAUGACUACAGCUCUCCUGAAUCAGAGGCGGAAGAGCUGAUCGAUGUGGGCCAAGAGGACGGCUUCUGUCCUGUCACAGGGUCCAUGUCUCCAGGCAGCACCUCUCAGAUUCUGGCUCGUAAGAAGAGGAGAGGAAUCAUCGAGAAGAGACGGCGUGACCGGAUCAACCACAGCCUGUCUGAGCUCAGGAGACUGGUGCCCAGCGCCUUUGAGAAACAGGGUUCCUCAAAACUGGAGAAGGCUGAAAUUCUGCAGAUGACUGUCGAUCAUCUCAAACUGCUGCAUGCCAUGGGGGGCAAAGGCUACUUUGAUGCCCAUGCCCUGGCAGUGGACUACCGGACGCUGGGGUUCCGUGAGUGUGUGGGGGAGGUGGUGCGCUACCUGAGCUCCCUGGAGGGCACAGAAUCAGUCGACCCAAUCGGGGCUCGGCUGGUGUCUCAUCUAAGCCACUGCGCCAGUGAGAUUGACCCCCUCCUGCAGAGCCCUGCUCUCCCUUUCCCUCCCUGGCCCUGGGGGUCCUUCCCUCCCCUCUCCACACCCCCCUCCCCUGCAUCCUCUCCCUCAUUCCCCACUGCCAGUCGACGGGACCUGGGCCCCCACACUGCCGCCGCCCUGCUGGCGUACCCCUCCCCAGGCCUGCGUGUGGCUCCUCUCCCUGGCACCGCAGGAUCUCUCCUGAGUGCUGGGUUCUCAGGGGUGCACCGGGUCCAGUUGAUGCCAUCGGUGGCACACAGACUGUCCCAGACAUCCUCUGAGGGUUCAGCUGGGGCUCCACCUAUUCAUGCUGUUACACGCUCUUCAUCUUCCUCUUCCCCAGUUCCUCAGCAGACUUCGUUCAGGCCCUUCAUCCCUGUGGGGUCUCCUCCUCCUCAGCGCAGGGACACAAGUGGCUCCAAUAAGCCUGGACAGAAUUGGGGGACGGAGAUCGGGGCCUUCUGA